rnacentral:rRNA from 1 species
CUACGGGGGGCAGCAGUUUCGAAGUCUUUACACUGCGCGUAAGCGCGAUAGGGGAAAUUCGAGUGGCCACACUGUGGUCUUUUGCUAAACCUAAAAAGUUUGGCGAAUAAAGGGGGGGUAACAUACGUGCCAGCCGCCGCGGUAAUACGUAGUCCCUAAGUGGUUUCCACUUGUAUUGGGCCUAAAACACCCGUAGCUGGUGCAGUAAGUCCUUGGUGAAAUCAGUUAGCUCAACUAAUUGAAUUGCUAAAGAUACUGCUGUGCUUGGGGAAGGGAGACGUGAAGGGAAUUUUUGGGGUAGCGGUGAAAUGCGAUGAUCCUAAAAAGACCUCCAGUAGCGAAGGCGCUUCACGAGAACUAUCCCGACAGUGAGAGAUGAAAGCUGGGGGAGCGACCAGGAUUAGAUACCCCAGUAGUC